GGAUAAAAGGUACUCCGGGGAUAACAGGCUGAUACCGCCCAAGAGUUCAUAUCGACGGCGGUGUUUGGCACCUCGAUGUCGGCUCAUCACAUCCUGGGGCUGAAGUCGGUCCCAAGGGUAUGGCUGUUCGCCAUUUAAAGUGGUACGCGAGCUGGGUUUAGAACGUCGUGAGACAGUUCGGUCCCUAUCUGCCGUGGGCGUUGGAAGAUUGAAGGGGGCUGCUCCUAGUACGAGAGGACCGGAGUGGACGAACCUCUGGUGUUCGGGUUGUGUCGCCAGACGCAUUGCCCGGUAGCUAAGUUCGGAAUUGAUAAGCGCUGAAAGCAUCUAAGCGCGAAGCGAGCCCUGAGAUGAGUCUUCCCUGAUACUUUAAGUAUCCUAAAGGGUUGUUCGAGACUAGAACGUUGAUAGGCAGGGUGUGUAAGCGUUGUGAGGCGUUGAGCUAACCUGUACUAAUUGCCCGUGAGGCUUAACCAUACAACACCCAAGGGGUUUUGUA
rnacentral:rRNA from 1 species